ACGAACGCUGGCGGCGUGGAUUAGGCAUGCAAGUCGUGCGCGAAAGUAGACUUCGGUUUACUAGUAGAGCGGCGAACUGGUGAGUACAAGGUGACUAACCUGCCCCUGAGUGGGGAAUAACCCGCCGAAAGGUGGGCUAAUACCGCAUGGUCUCUUUGGGUUUCGGCCUGGAGAGUAAAGCAGUAAUGCGCUCGGGGAUGGGGUCACCUCCCAUUAGCUAGUUGGUGGGGUAACGGCCCACCAAGGCUACGAUGGGUAGCUGGACUGAGAGGUUGGCCAGCCACACUGGGACUGAGAUACGGCCCAGACUCCUACGGGGGGCAGCAGUCUAGAGGCUUUGACAAUGCCCGAAAGGGUGAUCAAGCGACGCCGCGUGCGGGAUGAAGGUCUUCGGAUUGUAAACCGCUUUUGUUUGGGGAGAAGGCCCUGCUCGUGAAGCAGGGAUUGACGGUACCAGACGAAUAAGCCCCGGCUAACUCCGU
rnacentral:rRNA from 1 species